rnacentral:lncRNA from 7 species
GCAUCUGACCAGAGUGACAAAAAAAAAAGGACACCGCCAUCUUCUACAGUCACAAUUCACAAAAUCGUCUGUCAACAGGAAAGGAUGAGCUCAUGAAGUUCUCUAGCUAACGAAGUUUUCUUCAUGAACGGUGUUGAGAAAAAUGCAUUAUAUAGAAGACGAUGGCUACAUGUCUACAUGAAGAACACAACUUAGGUCAAUCUUCAAAGAAAUUCGCAUAGUAAUAAGAAUGUUAUUUUGAGCAUUGUGUAGGGGAGUAUAUGAUUGUUAUCAUGUGUUGGCACAUAUUUUCUUUUUUAUUACAGUAUUAAAUAUCAGUAAUUAUCGUUAAAACAUUCAGCAUGAUAGUGACUAAACUUUAGCAAAAUAUAGGCUUAAUUAGGUUUAUUAAACUCAUCUCGUCUUUUAGUUUUCAUUUGUAUAAUUAAUUUUAUAAUUAGACUAUAUUCAAUAUUCGUAAUUAUCGUUAAAACAUUCAGUGACAGAAACUAAACUUUAGUUGAGCUGGGUGGAACAAAACAAGCUGUAACUAGACUUAUUCAGUGUCCACUGACCCUUUGUAGAACUGCUACAUGACCACAUCUGCAAGGAAUCCUUCAGCAAUUGCAUUAAAAAAACAUUGCUUUAACUGGACACUAAAAUGUCACGAACAGCAAGUAGCUACAGGGCAAAACUUAUUAGCUUUGUUUACACGAUGAAAAACUUAGGCAGGGCCCCCACUUUGAGACCCAGUGGCUGGCUGGCUGCUAUAGUAUUGUAUCUGAUUUUUCUCGUUCACCAUCCACGCAUUUUCAACAUGGUCUGGGAAAAACAAGCUUUUUCACAGAGUACUGAAACCGGCAAAUCC